rnacentral:rRNA from 1 species
UACGUAGGUGGCAAGCGUUGUCCGGAAUUAUUGGGCGUAAAGCGCGCGCAGGCGGUCCUUUAAGUCUGAUGUGAAAGCCCACGGCUCAACCGUGGAGGGUCAUUGGAAACUGGGGGACUUGAGUGCAGAAGAGGAAAGCGGAAUUCCACGUGUAGCGGUGAAAUGCGUAGAGAUGUGGAGGAACACCAGUGGCGAAGGCGACUUUCUGGGCUGUAACUGACGCUGAGGCGCGAAAGCGUGGGGAGCAAACAGG